rnacentral:rRNA from 1 species
UUGUGNCANCAGCCGCGGUAAUACAGAGGGUGCGAGCGUUAAUCGGAUUUACUGGGCGUAAAGCGUGCGUAGGCGGCUUUUUAAGUCGGAUGUGAAAUCCCUGAGCUUAACUUAGGAAUUGCAUUCGAUACUNGGAAGCUAGAGUAUGGGAGAGGAUGGUAGAAUUCCAGGUGUAGCGGUGAAAUGCGUAGAGAUCUGGAGGAAUACCGAUGGCGAAGGCAGCCAUCUGGCCUAAUACUGACGCUGAGGUACGAAAGCAUGGGGAGCAAACAGGAUUAGAUACCCUGGUAGUCCAUGCCGUAAACGAUGUCUACUAGCCGUUGGGGCCUUUGAGGCUUUAGUGGCGCAGCUAACGCGAUAAGUAGACCGCCUGGGGAGUACGGUCGCAAGACUAAAACUCAAAUGAAUUGACGGGGGCCCGCACAAGCGGUGGAGCAUGUGGUUUAAUUCGAUGCAACGCGAAGAACCUUACCUGGNCUUGACAUACUAAGAACNUUCCAGAGAUGGAUUGGUGCCUUCGGGAACNUNNAUACAGGUGCUGCAUGG